ACGGGUGAGUAACACGUGGGUAACCUGCCCAUCAGAAGGGGAUAACACUUGGAAACAGGUGCUAAUACCGUAUAACACUAUUUUCCGCAUGGAAGAAAGUUGAAAGGCGCUUUUGCGUCACUGAUGGAUGGACCCGCGGUGCAUUAGCUAGUUGGUGAGGUAACGGCUCACCAAGGCCACGAUGCAUAGCCGACCUGAGAGGGUGAUCGGCCACACUGGGACUGAGACACGGCCCAGACUCCUACGGGAGGCAGCAGUAGGGAAUCUUCGGCAAUGGACGAAAGUCUGACCGAGCAACGCCGCGUGAGUGAAGAAGGUUUUCGGAUCGUAAAACUCUGUUGUUAGAGAAGAACAAGGAUGAGAGUAAAAUGUUCAUCCCUUGACGGUAUCUAACCAGAAAGCCACGGCUAACUACGUGCCAGCAGCCGCGGUAAUACGUAGGUGGCAAGCGUUGUCCGGAUUUAUUGGGCGUAAAGCGAGCGCAGGCGGUUUCUUAAGUCUGAUGUGAAAGCCCCCGGCUCAACCGGGGAGGGUCAUUGGAAACUGGGAGACUUGAGUGCAGAAGAGGAGAGUGGAAUUCCAUGUGUAGCGGUGAAAUGCGUAGAUAUAUGGAGGAACACCAGUGGCGAAGGCGGCUCUCUGGUCUGUAACUGACGCUAAGGCUCGAAAGCGUGGGGAGCGAACAGGAUUAGAUACCCUGGUAGUCCACGCCGUAAACGAUGAGUGCUAAGUGUUGGAGGGUUUCCGCCCUUCAGUGCUGCAGCAAACG
rnacentral:rRNA from 1 species